UUUAGUUCGUAGCGGUCCACGUAGUCAUUCCCGGAAAUUGAUCCGUCGACGAUGACGACGACGACAGCCGCCGCCCUCCGGUGAUCCCUCGCCGGCGCCGCAUUCUCCGGUUCGUCUCCUGCCUCCGCGUCGACGCCCGCGGGAGCCGCAUUUCUCGAGCUCGCGGUGUCCGCCGGUGGCUCCGGUCGGCGACUUUCCGGCGCGAGGCACUGCCCUCGAGGCCUCGACGAUUGCUCGCCGGGUUUCUUCGUGUGGAAGCUCCUCGCGAAGGUUCGGCGUCGGGGAUUUGGGAUACUGUAGCGACUCGCCUCGGGUUUCGAUGGCGUUUCCGCCGUCCUGGUUCGAUUGGAGUUCGAGAGGAGAAGGGGAUGGGAGAACGAAAGAGGGCGGCCAAGCAUUACCCGCCGGAUUUCGACCCUAAGAAGCUGUCUAGGGUUCGGAGGUCCGAGGAUCGGCAGGGGAAGCUCCGGACGAUGCUUCCGAUGACAUUUACUUUGGACUUACCUGUCAAAUAUCCGGGACCAUUCCAGCCACCGUGACAUGCUAGAUGCUUGGCUAGUUUCAUCCAAAAGAAAAACAAGAGAAGACAGAGUAAAUUGUUAAGAGUUUUUUUGGGUCACAGUGGACUGUGUACUGCAUGCCUUCUGGUUUUUUGUCUCUUGAGUUUCAGAUUAUUUGAAAAGUCAGAGAUACCAAUUGUUUGCAUCCUAGUUUGCAGGAAAAGAAUUGUAAACUCAGAGAUUUAUUCAUGUGAUAGCAACAUUGGAGCCUUGGAGCCUUAUCCUACUAUGUGCAGUUGGUUCUUUAUCACUUCAUUUGGAAAGGAAAUUCGGGGAAGAGGAUGAAGCGCUUACUAAAUCAAGUAUUUCAGACAUCCAAAGAUUUUGUCCGUAGGAUUGAAGAUGAAGAUUCAGAGGAUGAGGAAAAUCUGACUCAACCUUCUGCUAGUGACGACGAAUAAUUGAACACUCUCAAGAAGAGGAAAUUUUCUGAGGAAUUUCUGGACAAGCCGAUAGAUUCCUUGACAAAAGCUACUUCCAGUGACAUCUUGAAUGACAGAGGCAUUGCAAGUUUCUUGAACAUGUUUUCUUCAAUUACGUUAGCUCUUCUGAAUGAUGUAUGCGUUGAGACAGAUCAGCUGGGCACUUCCCUUUUCCUGCAAGCGCUUUGGAUUUUAUUAAAAUGAAGACUCCAUUCAUGGAAGUAGGCUCAUAUAAAGUAACUUUUUACAUGUGGCGCUGGUUGUUUGUGCAAGUUUUCUGGUUACAGUUCCGCGUCUUUCCAUCAUGUCUGCAGUUCGAGUAAAUUGUUGUCCACUUCUUCCUCUGUGCGAAUUGCUGUGGUAAAGAAAGCUGGUCCAACUUCCCACCUGAGCAUUGCACUCCAGUCUUUAUGUGAAUAUGAAAGUAGUGAUGAU